AAUCAACGCUGGCGGCGUGCCUAACACAUGCAAGUCGAACGAGAAAGUGGAGCAAUCCAUGAGUAAAGUGGCGACCGGGUGAGUAACACGUGACUAACCUACCUCCGAGUGGGGAAUAACUCCGGGAAACCGGGGCUAAUACCGCAUAACAUCGCAAGAUCAAAGCAGCAAUGCGCUUGGAGAGGGGGUCGCGGCUGAUUAGCUAGUUGGUGAGGUAACGGCCCACCAAGGCGAAGAUCGGUAUCCGGCCUGAGAGGGCGCACGGACACACUGGAACUGAAACACGGUCCAGACUCCUACGGGAGGCAGCAGUGGGGAAUUUUGCGCAAUGGGGGAAACCCUGACGCAGCAACGCCGCGUGGAGGAUGAAGCCCUUUGGGGCGUAAACUCCUUUCGACCAAGACGAUAAUGACGGUACUGGUGGAAGAAGCACCGGCUAACUCUGUGCCAGCCGCCGCGGUAAGAC
rnacentral:rRNA from 1 species